UAAGUGCAGGACUCUGCACUAGUCCUUGUUGAACCUCAUCAGCUUUCUUUUGGCCCAAUCCUCUAAUUUGUCUAGGUCCCUUUGUAUCCUAGCCAUACCCUCCAGUGUAUCUACCACUCCUCACUUUCACCUGAAUAAAAAUUGCCAAAUUAUAUGCACAGGAGUUCUUGUGUAUGUACCAGUUAAAGCAAACACGCUGUAGUGUUGUGGAUAUCUAUGUGAGAAAUUAAUGGUUAAGAUGACAUUCCUCAUGACUUGCAGUUGGCCCUGAGGGAUGAUGGUUCUCAUGAUCAGGUUUAUUAGCUGCUAAUUUAAUUUUUUUUAAUUGUUCAGUUAGAGUGUACUUAACCAGCAUGGAACAAAUCAGAAUAUUAUGAGGUUACAUUUGAAAGGUGUUGCAUGAGUGAGAUUCUCACAGACCAAUUAAAGUAUCUAAUUGUUUUGGUUUGUGUACUGCAUAAAGGAAAGAAAACCACCAGACUAACACUGUUGGCUCAACAGCACCUGGUCUUUCAUGUACAGUGCUUAUCCCUAUUCAUUUAGAGUACUUACUAAUAAUACACCCCUAUUUAUAGUUAAUAGUUUUGCAGAAAUCUGAGUCUUAAUAGCUUUCUUAAAUGUAUAGUAAGUCUCAUUAAAUGUACUAUUUUGUACUGCACUUACACUAGAGUUGGCAAUUAAAUAAGGAUUAAGGCUGUACCAGAAUCAUUCACUGUCUUCCCCAAAAUUAGUAUUUUUAUUGUGCCUCUAACUUGUAAACUUAAAAAAACAAGUGCAAGAAGAGUCCAUGGGGAGGGGGAAAAUGUCAGUGUGCAGCAUGCAGACAACUUCUGGAACUUCAGUGAAGCAAUAACUAUAUUUUGUUACUGAAAGAAAAAGUAAAAUGGCGUUGCUAACUCAGGAUCACCCUUUAUUAAAUAACAGAAUUAAAUUGUCUGGGAUGACUUACUGGAAUUCCUGCCUUAUUAACAUGCCAAUUCUGUUACUGGGAGAUUGAUUGAUUGUUUUUGUUUCUAGCACUGCAAGCCCAAACCUUUUACUUGAGACUUGGGGAAUUACAAUUACUGGUAAGACAUGGCAUGAAUGAAGAGCGUAAAAAUAUUCUCCGUGAAGUGUGGACAUGGAGUAAGAGGGCAACAUCUCUGUGUAUCUGAGUAGGUGAGCCUGCUUAGUGCAGCAUAGGUUUGCUGAAUUAUUUAGCAGGUGUCAGGGUAACAGGCAUCUAAAAACUGCAAUGAUACAAAUCAGGUGUAGGUAAUCAGAGAUGCCAAAAUGGCAGUGGGAUUCAGGUAUAUUGGUUAUGUUGAAUAAAAACUGAUACCAAUGCAGUUUCUUCUGUAUUAGUUUUUUCUUUGAAUUCUAGAAAUAAUUCUGCAAGCCCUACAUGCAACUCACUCAUUUCACACUAUAAACAGUGCAGCCUUCAGUAAACCAUUUCAGGAACUCACCUACCUUUUUUAAUACUGCAGUUUUCUUGCCUUAGACUCCUAAUAAAGCACAGUAUUGGACUUGACUGCCUUUGUGACAUGCUUCAUAACUAAAUUGCAAUAUGCCCAAAGGCUGUCACACUCAUGCAUUGAGUUGAAAGGUAAAGGUGCACUGUGGUGGAAGCCUUUCUUUACUUUUUGUGGUGCAGUAAGCAAGUAGUGGAUUAAUUGUUCCAGUUGAGGUGGUAGAAGUUUCUAGAGGUCUAGUCUUUUUAAAAUUGCUUUAGUUUAGGCUAACUCUUACCACAUGAGACUUUCCAGGAGUAUCUGUAAGUCUUAUUAAUUUAAACCUUUACCAGUGGUAUGUUUAUAUAAAUAAACAAAAGUUUCAAAAUAAGUUAAUUAUGUUAAAGUGUGGAUCUGUGCAUUCUGUACACAUGGAUCCCACUCUUCUACACAGGUGAUCAGAAUCUUUUAACCAGCAGUGUGUAUUUGGGGCUGUGGAUGUGCUCUAUAUGGCUUCAUGCCACCCCUCUUGAGGGUGCAGCAUCCCCAUCUGCGUAUAGAACAUCUUGAAGAACCUCAGUUACUGUCAGGUAAGUAAACAUUGUUUCUUUGAGUAUGUGUCCAUAUGUAUUCCGCUCUUGGUGAUUACUCAGGCUUAACUCUUCUAGAUCAUGAGAUGGGAACCUAUUGAAGUAAAGACUAAUACUGCUUGACCAAACUGGGCAGCAGAGAUGGAGGCUGAUACCUGUGAAUAGAGAUCCAUGCUGCUGCUCAGCAUUUCCAGGUUAGGCUAGAAACUCUGAUCUCCUGCAUAACACAGGCUCUGGGAGUCACAUGAAUUAAUUCCUGCUUCAAUUCCAAAACCUAUGGUUGACAAGAGCACUGGUUUUCAAUCUGUGGUCUGCCGAUUAUAUCUAAGGGGUUAACGAAAGAUUGUCGUUACUAUACAACAGUGGUUUUCAACCUGUGGUCCACACACUGCGUAAGAUUUCCAAAGGGGUCUGCAGAUGAAAAAAUGUUGGAAGUCACUGGACUAAAGCAUACCUUUUGAUUUAAGAUUUCCAGCGAGGGAGAGUCCACCACAACCCAUGGUAAACUGUUCCUCAUAGUUUUAGUCUGAAGCACUUUAGCUUCAAGCUAUUAGAUUAAAUUUCUCUGCUAAAUUGAAGAGCUAUCAAAUUUGGGUUCACAGUGUAGGUUUUAACUUGAUCGGUCUCAGCACCUUGGAGUCUUAUAAUGCACAUUUUCCAAUAACUCAGCUCUUCUCUCCACAGUUUAGGAAUGAUGGUGAUAAAUUUGAACACAGCUGCACCAGUGCAGUAAUAUAAAUUUCCUCCUCCUGCCUGUAGAUCCAAGGAUUGCAUAAGGUUUUUUGGCUACAGUAGUGUUCAUGUUCACCUGAUUAUCUACCAAACUCUUGAGUCAUUGCAUCCCCGGAUUGAUUCCCCAUCGUGUAUCAUCAGAUAACAGGACAGCACCAUACAGCAGUGAUGUGCAUUCAUGAGAGAAGAUGAAUACCUAGAUGCAGUUUUCUGAGGGUGAUGCAGAAAAGGAUAUGAGAGUGAGAGAAUGAGAAAUAACCUACCUUUAUUAAAUAAAGGAGAGAGGAAUGCAUCUUGCAUAUGAGGUCCAUGGGAUGAAACUGUGUCCAUCUCUCUCUGGGAGGAAUUGAUGGUGCUAAGCCAGCUGUGACUCUGAGGUGCACUUGAGACCCCUGUGUCCAUUUCCACAUUUAAAAAACUGUCUGCAGACUGGGACUUGAGCAGCUGCUCUCCAACAGCUAGAAAUAAGGAGGCAUUUAUAAAAAACAGACCCACCAUACAAGUAGCCAUUUAUCUCCCAAACAACUUUUUACAGUUAUAGCCAAGUCAAAAUUCAAGUAAUUAAGUCGCUGACAAACAAACAAAUGCAAGGGAAUGCAGAUCUUAUGGCUAUUGCAAGACCCUUUGAUCAGCCUCACUGUACCUAGACACUGGCACACAGUGAAAGUGCCAUCUAAUAUGUUGCUGGCAUAGCUGAGCUACCAUGUAAACUCACUUUCUUGCACUCUUGAGACAGAAAUUCAGUCUAGUUUAUAGAAUUAAAAGAUGUUUUAAGAUUGCAGUGAGAUCCAUGUGGUAAUCUCUCAAAAUAAUAUAUGGAAAGAUAUAACAGCAACAUUGUAAUACAGGUUUGAAAACUGCAGCACAUUCUCACAAUUUUAACUCUUCCAUCUCACUACCACCACAUUGCUAGCAAAUUUCAUCAGGUCACAUGAAAAACAAAGCUUUAAAAAUCAGAUAUAAAACCACAUAAUGUACUGAUUUUAGUCACUUUCUUUGGCUGAAAUUGUAUAAAAGGUUGUGUCCAGACUGACCUGUAACAGAGAUCUAGUUCUCUGAUUUAAUACAGCUAAAAUAUAACUUCUGAGAGAAAACAGGAAAACAGGAAACUACAACAUAACUACUACAAAGACAUGAGGUCUAUGCUAAACAGAAGGGGUUCUGAACCCCUUCAAAAUCAUGCAAAGUAAGGAACUGUGCAGGUGAUAAACGUCAACCUGUUCUUUGCUUGGCUGAACUGAGAUUCAAACUGAUGGAGGCAGGAUUGCAGGAGAGAAACCUAGUCCACCAAAAUAACUCAGAUGGUACAUCACCUGUCUUGUACUUUCCAUUCUUGAAAGGUGAAUUAACAGAGCAAGCUGGUAUGACUGGAAACGGCCAGAGAAAAUCCUUGUGUAGUCUCUUCAAGGCAAUCACAAAAUCCUCCACACGGGCAGCCCGGGCUCGCUCCUUACACAGCCAGCCAAUCAGCUCAAAGCCUAGUUGUGCAGCAAAGCAGCCAAGGUCUUUAAGCCUGAUUUCCUCCAGCAAGCGUCGAGCAUGACGCCAGAGCAUCAUAUCAAUGUACAUGUUCUCAGCACAGUCACUGUCUUUACUCCACCUGUGGACCAACACAAGUGAAGCGGUGAUAGUAAGACUGUAGCUUAAAAGUCCUUUACCCAAGAGCCUUCACUAUCACGAUGAUCUAUGUGACAAUAGGAAUGUGGCAGAUAGAAACUAGAUAAAAAGAAAAGGAGUACUUGUGGCACCUUAGAGACUAACCAAUUUAUUUGAGCAUAAGCUUUCGUGAGCUACAGCUCACUUCAUUGGAAUGCAUCCGAAAGCUUAUGCUCAAAUAAAUUGGUUAGUCUCUAAGGUGCCACAAAUACUCCUUUUCUUUUUGCGAAUAUAGACUAACACAGCUGCUACUCUGAAACCAGAAACUAGAUAGGCAGCACCAGCUGCAGGGGCUUAAAGUCUUAGCAGUAAAGGCAAAGCUACACAUCACUAGGGAAGCAAGGAGCAGCACCCCUUUCAAAGUGGCCUCUCAGAGAAAGCAAACUCCAGAAGACUGCGGCACUAGCAAUUGCUCUCACAGACAAACACUCCUGCCAGUCUCUAAGCCCUCAGCUGGGGCUCCCCUGUUCUGCAGGGGGAUGAGUCCCACCCGCUCUGCAUCAUCCCACUGAGCCCUAACCAUCUUCACCUGGACCCCCCUGCAGAGUCCCAUUGCCCCUGCACGCAGAACUCCCCCCCCCCAGUAAGCCCCUAUGCACCUAGAUUACUCACUAAGCUGCUCACAUCUGGACUGCCCAACACCAGGAUCCUGCUAGCCUGAACCUGCCUGCCCACACCUGGUGUGCCUGCCACAAAGGGGCAGAGCCCUGGGGUGUUUCUGGGGCAGCCUCACCGCCGAGUCCCUGUCCUGGGGUGGGGGACUGUAGGGUAAUCUCUGAUCUUCAUGCAGCCAGUGACCUGUGCUCUCCACUGCCAUGGUGGAGCCUCCACAUUUAUUUACUGAAAUUAAAAUUUGCAGAUUUUUUUUUUGGGGGGGGGGGGGGUGCAGAAUAUUUAGGCUCGGAAUUCCCUCAGGAGUAGCAAUGUCACUGUGCUGUGGCACCAGGAGUUAAUUCAGGAUAACUAGCUUUCAGCAAAUGACUCUUCAGGAGAUGGACAUACAUGAAAAAUCAUGGUAGUCUUGCAAGUUUUGGGAGAGGUGAGCUUUUCCCUGGGUCAAUGUUUCAUAUAGGUACUGAGUGUCUAACAUGAACUUUAAAUACUGAUCCAGGCAGUCGACUUUGUGCUGGUGGUGGAAUAGUAGCAAUCUUCAAACAGGAGAGGCCCGUGAAGUCCAAGAACCCACUGAAGAGGAUAACAGAGGAAAUGUGCUUCAUAUACAGUCAAUGCAGAUAUCUACUCUGUUCCUUCCUACACCAAGAACCAUAUCUGCGUGGGAGGGGGACACUGCCUUUAAAAACAAAAAUGUGCUGUACUCUGGAACAUAAAUGUCUUACUGGAUCAGACCAGGGUCCAUCUAGUCCAGUACUUGGUCUCUAACAAUGGCCAAUACCAGCUCCUUUACAGAAAGGAAGGGAAUAGAAGAAAAAUAGCAUAACCUACUCCCAAUAAAGUUUGUCCUAACUUCCAAUAGUUAGAGAUUUCAGUAAAUUCUGAAGCUUAAUGUUUUUAUCCCUUUAUGUGAUUGAAAGAGGUUGAACACUGUAAUUUUCAAAAUAAAAAUACCACAAGAACAACUAUCAAAACUGAUACUUGGGAGAAACAUUUAGAUGGAAUUCUUCUGGCAGAUCAACACCAGAUUCAGAGAAAGCUGGUCCAUUCCACAUAAGUGUUUAGCACUCCCUGAGAGAGUGUGAUUUUCUUCAAGUAGGAGUCUUUUACAAGAAUCUUUGAUCUGGCAGCUUAGGGAAAAAGAUGUUUCCCUGGACAGAAUCCUCCCACCAUGAAGAUGACAACU